rnacentral:rRNA from 1 species
GAUGAACGCUAGCGGCAGGCUUAACACAUGCAAGUCGAGGGGUAUUAGUUUUCGGACUAAGAGACCGGCGCACGGGUGCGUAACGCGUAUGCAAUCUGCCUUUCACAGAGGGAUAGCCCAGAGAAAUUUGGAUUAAUACCUCAUAGUAUUAUAGACUGGCAUCGGCUUAUAAUUAAAGUCACAACGGUGAAAGAUGAGCAUGCGUCCCAUUAGCUAGUUGGUAAGGUAACGGCUUACCAAGGCGACGAUGGGUAGGGGUCCUGAGAGGGAGAUCCCCCACACUGGUACUGAGACACGGACCAGACUCCUACGGGAGGCAGCAGUGAGGAAUAUUGGUCAAUGGACGCAAGUCUGAACCAGCCAUGCCGCGUGCAGGAUGACGGUCCUAUGGAUUGUAAACUGCUUUUGUACGAGAAGAAACACUCCUACGUGUAGGAGCUUGACGGUAUCGUAAGAAUAAGGAUCGGCUAACUCCGUGCCAGCCGCCGCCGUAAUAC